CGGGCCCGAGAAGAAUCAGCUGAUCUACAAUGCAACACAACCACCGGAAUACAAUUUAGCGAACAUCAACGUGCCGAUUGGGUUAUUCUACGCCGACAACGAUUGGUUGGCCGAUAGUCGGGACGUGAAGAAACUUCAUAGCAUGUUACCCAAUGUUUUGGACAUGUACAGAGUACCGUUUCCUAAGUUCAAUCAUCUUGAUUUCAUUUGGGGCAAAGACGCGCCUGAGCUCGUGUAUAAGAGAUUGCUCAAGAUCAUCAAGACUGGAAAGUUUGAUAAUAAGAUAAGAAAUGAAUGAGAUACUUAAUCCUUGCGACCACGGGCAUAAAUUGAAAAUAAUUUAGCCUGUAGUAUCUCGAAAUAGUUUGUGCGUAGGUGAAUUAAAAUGUGCUAUUUUGGCGCUUUCAUCGUUUGAAU